rnacentral:rRNA from 1 species
GAUUAACGCUGGCGGCGUGCAUAACACAUGCAAGUCGAACGAAGUGGCAGACGGGUGAGUAACGCUCGAUUAACCUGCCUUAGAGACGGGGAUAGCCUAUGGAAACGAGAAAUAAUACCCUAUACUCUACGAUGGACUUUGGUGUGAUUAGUUAGUUGCUGAGGUAACGGCCCACCAAGACAGCGAUCAGUAGCCGGCUUGAGAGAGUGUACGGCCACAUUGGGACUGAGACACGGCCCAGACGCUACUGGAGGCAGCAGUGGGGAAUUUUGCACAAUGGGGGAAACCCUGAUGCAGCGACGCCGCGUGAUUUAGAAGGCCUUCGGGUUGUAAAAAUCUUUUCUAUGGGAAGCAGUACCAUAGGAAUAAGGACCGGCUAAUUACGUGCCAGCAGCCGCGGUAAUUC